rnacentral:rRNA from 1 species
AUUGAACGCUGGCGGCAUGCCUUACACAUGCAAGUCGAGCGGCAGCGCGGGGGCAACCCUGGCGGCGAGCGGCGGACGGGUGAGUAAUACAUCGGAACGUGUCCUUUCGUGGGGGAUAACCAGUCGAAAGACUGGCUAAUACCGCAUGAGAUCUCACGAUGAAAGCGGGGGACCGCAAGGCCUCGCGCGAUUGGAGCGGCCGAUGUCGGAUUAGCUAGUUGGCGGGGUAAAAGCCCACCAAGGCAACGAUCCGUAGCUGGUUUGAGAGAACGACCAGCCACACUGGGACUGAGACACGGCCCAGACUCCUACGGGAGGCAGCAGUGGGGAAUUUUGGACAAUGGGGGCAACCCUGAUCCAGCCAUGCCGCGUGUGUGAAGAAGGCC